rnacentral:sRNA from 1 species
GCAUCACCACGAUUUUCGAGAUCGUAGAGAUCUCUUCCCACCUCAAAUCUGAACCGUCGGAUGAGGCAUAAUCAAGAGGCGCGUCAUCUUGACUGUACACGUUAGCAACAAUUUUCCUCGAGUAUCUGCUCGAAAUCAUUUGGUUUAG